rnacentral:rRNA from 1 species
UACAGAGGGGGCAAGCGUUGUUCGGAAUUACUGGGCGUAAAGGGCGCGUAGGCGGCCUGUUAAGUCGAACGUGAAAUCCCCGGGCUCAACCCGGGAACUGCGUCCGAUACUGGCAGGCUUGAAUCCGGGAGAGGGAUGCGGAAUUCCGCGUGUAGAGGUGAAAUUCGUAGAUAUUCGGAAGAACACCAGUGGCGAAGGCGGCUCACUGGACCGGUAUUGACGCUGAGGUGCGAAAGCGUGGGGAGCAAACAGG